rnacentral:rRNA from 1 species
AUUGAACGCUGGCGGCAUGCUUUACACAUGCAAGUCGAACGGUAACAGGCCGCAAGGUGCUGACGAGUGGCGAACGGGUGAGUAAUGCAUCGGAACGUGCCCAGUCGUGGGGGAUAACGCAGCGAAAGCUGCGCUAAUACCGCAUACGAUCUAUGGAUGAAAGCGGGGGACCGUAAGGCCUCGCGCGAUUGGAGCGGCCGAUGUCAGAUUAGGUAGUUGGUGGGGUAAAGGCUCACCAAGCCAACGAUCUGUAGCUGGUCUGAGAGGACGACCAGCCACACUGGGACUGAGACACGGCCCAGACUCCUACGGGAGGCAGCAGUGGGGAAUUUUGGACAAUGGGCGCAAGCCUGAUCCAGCAAUGCUGCGCGCAGGAAGAAGGCCUUCGGGUUGUAAACUGCUUUUGUACGGAACGAAACGGUCCUGGUUAAUACCCGGGGCUAAUGACGGUACCGUAAGAAUAAGCACCGGCUAACUACGUGCCAGCAGCCGCCGUAA